GGGCAAUUGGUCUAGUGGUAUGAUUCUCGCUUUGGGUGCGAGAGGUCCUGGGUUCAAUUCCCAGAUUGCCCC
rnacentral:tRNA from 1 species